CUCAGCAAAUGGAGGGCUGGUGCAGUUCACUCAGCAUGACGGUUACCAGCCACAGCGGGUCACUGUAAAGGUCACUAGUGACUUAACAUUUCUGCUGUGUGCAUAUUCAGCAGCAACAGAUGCAAUGGCAGACAUUAGUCCCACGUUUAGGCCUACAACAGGACUUAUCACCCACCUACAACGCAGUACCGAGCUGCCUCCCCAGACAGCUAACAGCGAUUCACACCUGGGCUCACCUGGUCAGAGCAACCCGCAUGAUGGACGGUUGGGUCAACGACUCUGAAACUCAGAGCUCACGCGUGUCCUCAACGAGUCUGUAAGGACACUCCCACACAAGGUUUAAAAGCCUGCAACUCCCCUCUUGUUAGUAAGAAACUGAAACACGUCCAGUUCCCUAUGAUACAGCAAUUAGUUAGCAAGCUGGACUGAGAACCUUCAUCAGCAUCGAAGGUGUUGCAUUUACUGCCUUCUUCGAGAUUUGGAAACAUGCCUCAGUACUCUGAUCUUCUCCUGAUUCCAUGAAGAGAACUUUCACCCAGCUCUCAUUACAUUCUGUAAUAAAUCUACCCUGCUUGAUCCUACGCUCUGAGAGAGCCUGAAGGCCUCUCUCAACAGCCUCUGCACACGACUCUUUUGAUUCUUUCUGAUUUUCUUCGGGCCUCUGCCGCGCAGAUAAUCACUGUGGCCAGAAGAGCUAGAAUCUAAUCUUCUCCUUGCAAAAACAAUACUAAUGUGCUUCCAAACGUCUCUGUUUUUUCCUCCCUUACGUCUUUCCUCCCUUGCCCACUUUCCCGGAAUGACUUUAUCUCGGCUCUGAUUCUCAUUACCUCCAUCUCUUUCUUUCUUUUUGGACAGCCUGUUCACCAUGCUGUGUGACUCUCCCCACACCAAUACCGGGCUCUUUCUCACAGUCACUUCCCUUAACAUCUCAUCCAUAUGUUUACCAUGUAUGUAAAACUGUGCCUACACAGAGGCGAACUCUGAACGAAUGACCAGACUGAGAAUCCAACAAGCCAUUUUAGUAUGCUCUCACGGUCCUGUCAGCUCCAUAAAAUACACAAUGCUCUGUGGUUCUGACCACAUCUGAUUUUAGGUACUUGGUGGCGAAUAUCUGCUGGUGCCUUUGACCGAGGCAUUAGCCCAGAGCUGGAUUUGGCCCCUGGGUGCUGCAUGGUGGCUCCUCAGGGUAGGUUAAAUGCAGACCAAGUGUCACUAAAUCAUUCUAAAGAAUCGUCUUUGUCUUCUUCUGCUACUUGUGAGAGAACUGUUUUCCCACAUCUGGGCUACUCUCAUUUUCCCAUCCCUCUAUUUCUUGAGUUGCCCUGCACUGUUGUUGUGUACGUAACCGUUCAUCCUCACGCCACAAACAAGCAAAGUGGUGUCUUUUUGUGUAGUUUUAUGUACUUACUGUCAAUGGGAGCUGAUGGACACUUCAGCAUAUCUCCAGUUGUAUCACCCUUAAGAAAAGCUUGCUUUACAUCCUGACAGGAUGUAAAACUGAACACGAAGGACGGACCAGGUCCUUGCCAGUUGAUUUACGAAGAUCUUAACGACACAAAAGCACAUCAUACAAUGCUCCUAACAUGAGUGUAAUCCUGCCAGCUUCCACUCCCUGUACUUCCCCCUCCCCGGCUACAUUUCCUGUUUUCCUCUCUUUCCCAACUCAUCAUCUGGAGAGACUGAUCUCGCACAUCUAACGGCCUCCUCUUGCCUCUGAAUCUCCUCUACAGCCAGUUCCCUCCUGCUGUUGCUUCGCUCCAUGUAGGCUGUAACUGCUGGUGAGCGAACUGCAGAUGGUCUGGUGUAUCUGUACGCUUACUGUCAUCAAAUACCUGCUUCAACUCAAGAAUCUGGUCCUUAUCAACACUGAUGGACACAGGGGUGGGUACAGAGGUAGGCAGUUGACCCAUUGGUGGCCCCAUGUCCAAAACAAUGCUGCGAAAGUGCCCUUUUAGAUGCCCCCUAUGGUGGAUAAAACAUAAUUAUGUGCCCCCUCUUCACUAUACAUAUAUCACAACUUUCUGUGGGUGCCCCUGUCAUUUUUUUUUUUUUUUGCACUCCAGCCCCUCAACAUCCUGAGUCUGCCAGCUGCUUCUCACCAAGAGCUGCAUCACCACACUGACAUAAACUUUUAGCUGACUUCCCUGAAACUGUCAGAUUGAUUUCCCUGGUUCAACCUGCAUCCUCGCCCUCUUUGUUGAACUAUCAAUCUCACUAAACUUACUCAUGUUGCCACUGAGAUAGAGCUUGUCUACACCAAUACAUUGGUGAUGAUGUUUGAGAGAUGUAUAUAACUGGAAAUAUAUACACUAUCUCCCCCUUGUGUUCAUGCUCUAACAGGCCACUGGCAGCAAAGGACAGAAUGCAUUUAAAUCAUAUCCAUGUGCUCUCCUUCAGCGUUGAAAUGAAGUCUGAGACUCGGGUGUCUGGCCAGUUGCCGUACCUUACUCGUUUAGUUUUGUCCUGUGACACACUUUAUACUCUUGAUUCAGAAAAGGAAAAUCUUCCAAAAUUAAAUCAUUGAAACUGGGAAAAAAAUAACUGGGAGGGGAAAGAUUAGGG